GAUGAACGCUGGCGGCGUGCCUAAUACAUGCAAGUCGAGCGAACGGACGAGAAGCUUGCUUCUCUGAUGUUAGCGGCGGACGGGUGAGUAACACGUGGAUAACCUACCUAUAAGGCUGGGAUAACUUCGGGAAACCGGAGCUAAUACCGGAUAAUAUUUUGAACCGCAUGGUUCAAAAGUAAAAGACGGUCUUGCUGUCACUUAUAGAUGGAUCCGCGCUGCAUUAGCUAGUUGGUAAGGUAACGGCUUACCAAGGCAACGAUGCAUAGCCGACCUGAGAGGGUGAUCGGCCACACUGGAACUGAGACACGGUCCAGACUCCUACGGGAGGCAGCAGUAGGGAAUCUUCCGCAAUGGGCGAAAGCCUGACGGAGCAACGCCGCGUGAGUGAUGAAGGUCUUCGGAUCGUAAAACUCUGUUAUUAGGGAAGAACAUAUGUGUAAGUAACUGUGCACAUCUUGACGGUACCUAAUCAGAAAGCCACGGCUAACUACGUG
rnacentral:rRNA from 1 species